rnacentral:piRNA from 1 species
UCAAUCGUGUUCUCCAUGAAU